AUCUAGAUGACGAGUCCCAAAUAGAACGGAACGUGCAUCAAACUAGAU
rnacentral:hammerhead_ribozyme from 1 species